GGGGCGGUAGCUCAGCUGGGAGAGCGCUGCAAUCGCACUGCAGAGGUCAGGGGUUCGAUCCCCCUCCGCUCCA
rnacentral:tRNA from 1 species